AAAUUUUUGACCAGGAAUCAUUUAUUUGGACUAGAAAUAUAAAACAAACAAAAACUUUCAAGAAGAUUACUUUCUCUUUUUCCUUUAUCUUUUUUAAGGGUUGGGGGUGGGGGCUUAUUUUAAGAGUUCUGAAAGUGGUGUUUAACAACAACUAUCUAUCAAUCAAGUGCCGAUAACUGGUCAUAUGAUAAAUUAUAUGUAUCUAUUUUUUGGACAUAGGAGUCUUGAUUGUAAUUUUUGCCAUGUUUCAAUGUUUUAUAUACUUAUUGCCAUUCCAUGAUAAAACUUGUAGUUAAGGGGGUUCGCGGUUCUAAAUCAUUUAUAUAGGAUUUCUCUAUAUUUUUCUGUAAAUGAACUUGAUCUUAUAGUUAGAAAAAUAA
rnacentral:lncRNA from 1 species